GCAAGAUGUCAAGGCCAAAGUCAGAUUCGUAUUUCUUGCAUUGUCUGUCAAUCACUUUCUAGGAGUAAUGUAGCCAAAAAGGAGUCAUAUCCCUGCAUCUCAGUCUUACCACCAGGGGCAUGAGAGCUGCUUGGAAAGAAAUUAGAACACUUCCCUGCUUCCCGAUGGGCAUCAGGGGCAAGGAUCCCAGCUUUUGCAUAGGACCUCAACAUUCUUUUCUCCCACUGCUGAUUUCCUUUAUACCUCUGCUUCGGCUCAUUUCUGGGUGAGUUUGGUGGCCCUGUGCCAACCUUUCAGUAAAUCUAAGGGACUCAGCUAAAGACAGAGAAACUAUAUCAUUAUGAUAGACACUUUAUUUAUUUUUAAUAGACCAACAAGGCAAUAUAGCAUCCUUAUGGAGAUAAACAGUUAUUUACUUUACACAAGCUCCAUAAACAACCCAUUUGCCACCAGGACUGCCCCAGGUAUCUGUGCACAUCGACUGAAGGGGCCAAAUUCAAGUGUCACUUCUUCCCUGAAGCCUCUCUGGGUACUCUGCUUGAUGAGAUUUCUCCCUGUACUGAAAGCCUAUUGUAAUGUAUUUGUUUUCUGUAGCAUAUAGUUAAUUGUAAAUAACAUGUCCUUCAUCCAGAGAUGUGAGGAAAAUCUCACAGCACUUAGUUGAGUUGCUUGAUGCUAGAAAAAAGGUUCAUGGUUGUGUAAAAAUCAAGGCAGGACUUAUUACAUGUGCAGUUUAUUGAACACCUACUAUAUACCACACCAUGAGUUAAGUGCUGGGCAUCCAAAAGUGGAUAAGACCUUUAAAGGGCUUACAUUUUAGCAGGGAGAACAAAUUUAUAAACAUAACGAUUACCUUCUAUACAAUAUGAUAUGUUGAGUCAUAACUAUAUACACAGUUCUGGGGUUGUCCAGAAAUGCAUCUGAUGAUUUCUAUCUUGGAUUUAGAAAAUGGUACCUACAGGGAGACUUCUCUGGAGAUUCUUAUUUCUCCCAGGCUUGAAGACUGACAAUGAUAUUUGUUGUUUUUUUUUUUUUUAUGUAGAAAAGUAAAAGAAAAGACAUUCAAUGCAUAGCCACAGAAGCAUGAAAUGGCAUAUUGUGUUUAGGAGCUAUGUGGACUUGUGAAUUGCUGGAAUAGUAUUGCAGAAAAUGACAUUAAUAGUAGAAAAAAAAAAAAACCCCACAGAACUAGAAGCUAAACAAGCAAGCCAGAGAUGCAGUCAUGAAAGGCAUUGCUUAUCCAGGGGACAGCAGAUAAGAAUGAGCAAAGGCUGGCGCAGUGGCUCCCACCUGUAAUCCCAACACUUUGGGAGGCAGAGGUGGGUGGAUCACCUGAGGUCAGGAGUUUGAGACCAGUCUGACCAACAUGGCGAAAACUCAUCUAGUAAAAAUACAAAAAUUAGCCAGGCAUGGUGGCGCUGCCUGUAGUCCCACCUACUCGGGAAGCUGAGGCAGGAGGAUCGCUUGAACCUGGGAAGUGGAGGUUGCAGCGAGCUGAGAUCAUGCACUGCACUCCAGCCUGGCUGACAGAGAAAGACUCCAUCUCAAAAAAAAAAAAAAAAAAAAAAAGAAAAAGAAAAUUAGCAAAGUCGCCAUGAGAGCAGCAAGAGAUGGCAUCUGAACAGGAGGAAGAAUGUAAAACCCUAUACAGUGUGGGUAGAAAAGUGUUACGUCUAAUGUCUGAGGCCACUGAGUGUCCAGGAAGGUGGUUUCUCAGGGCUCAACAACUCCUGGAGGAACCAUGCUGCCACCCCACAGUACGGUGAUUGAAAUGCAGAGUGAUGAUCCUGAGUCAUCGAGGAAAGGGAAAAUUCUGUACAAUAAGCUAUGUUUAUGAAGUCAGGGAAGUGUGUAAUACAGUUUAGAAUGCCAUCAAACAAUGAAUAUCAGAAAAAUGUUUUUGGAUGCUUACAGAUAUGUCAAUUCAUAAAUGUAUGAAUCCUCUUAUUUUCUGACAUGGCCAGCUAUUUUAGGCAUUACUAUAGUCUAUGCUCUCUCUUCAUAUCCGUGUUAAAGUAGUUUUACCUCAUAGAGUUUAAGCUCCUCAUUGACAGAUACCUCACCUCAUACUCCUCACAUCACUAAAGCCAAUGCUGGAGAUGCUUUAGGUCAUCAAUAAAUCUUUUAUGAUUGUUUCUAGACCAGGAUCCUGUUCACCAGUUAUUGAAUCUGUAUUGCCUCCUGGUUCUUGCUGACUUGUUUAUGGGAUAUCUCAGAAUAGUCAUUUGAAACCUUCUACGAUUAUCUCACAAGGAAUAAAUUCAUUAACUGUCCUUUAUUUUGAAGAUUAAUUGGUUCCUAGGAAACUAACAGUGGAAAGAUGACAUUGUAUAGGGGAAAGAGAAAGAGUGUCAAUUUAGGACCUAGAGAGCUUUUGAUGCCAGCCACCCCUCGCUGGGGGAGCA
rnacentral:lncRNA from 1 species